rnacentral:pre_miRNA from 1 species
AAAUUACUCCCUCCGUCCCAAAAUUCUUGUCUUAGAUUUGUCUAGAUACGGAUGUAUCUAAUACUAAAACGUGACUUGAUACAUCCGUAUUUAGACAAAUAUAAGACAAGAAUUUUGGGACGGAUGGAGUACAAG